rnacentral:lncRNA from 1 species
CAGACAGCUUUAUUUGGACGUACCUGGUCUGAACAAUUCAAAACCACAUUUCUUAUUGUAAGGGAGGCAGAGCUGGGCUCAGAGAGGUUCAGGAUGAGAAGAAAUAAAAGACUAUCUUUAGAGUAAUGCAUUCUGUUUCCCAGCUAGAUCUGUCCUUAGGUCUUACUAAGGACAUGUAGAAAGUGUUAUAACUCCCAUUCCAUGUGAAGCACAGUCUGGUCCGACGUUAACAGCAUUCUGCUCACAGCCAUGGUAACUUUGCCUGGCUGUUCUAAGAUUUUUCUGCAGCCACUGGAAAAAUGUGAAUUUUAAUAUUCCACCUGAAUAUAACAGAAAUAUGAAUACCAGAAGCUCUCGAAGCAGAACUCAUCCUUGGGCUCGUGAGUGGAAGUGAUGGCUUUCUUGACUUCGUACACUGUUGAAGAUUCAACAAAUUUCCCCUUCAAUCUCCACAUACUCCAGAGAAGGAUUCCAAAAAAGAUGAUACUUGAAUUUCCCUAAAGCUUCACAUUUUAUGGAACAUGUAGUACAAAGACUGAGAACCGUGGCUUCAGCAUGAUUGUGUUCACAUCCAGUGAGGGUUGCUCUGGAUGGAGGAUGAGGAAGAAAUCGAGGAGAUGUGUGGGAGCAUACCUUAAUCAAAAACAGCAGAGAAGAAGAAGACACAUUGCAGAGCAGCAGAUGAGAGGAUUUCAUAUCUGCCACAAACACCACAAGAAAAAAGGACAAAGCCUUCUCUGCAGUGGGAAAAGAACCUUAAUGGACAGCUCUCUUUCAGCAAGCCUUAGGAAAAACAACAUGCUUCUAAAAAGGCUGUAAAUAAAUUGAAAUUCAGUCUAAGUGAAUGCAGGCUGGUACGUUUUGGGUGGAGGGAGGAAAGCGAGGAGUACAAAGUAAGAGGCACUUGGAGUCAUGAAAAAAGCUGAGAAUCAAUAAACAGACUGAAGAACAGUGAACA